AUGCAGGACACAGGAUCAAGAUCUAUCUCCUCUGGUAGUUGAACAAAUCUAUAGAAGACUCAAAAGUUCACUACAACAUUUGCCCUUUUUUACUGUUACACUGUUUAUCUGCUUCCCACAGAAUCGUGUGCGUUCGAUCAAUGGGUCUAACAGAUAUCUGGUCGUCCAUGCACAUCUCCCAGGCGCUUUCCCCUUUCUGCCCUCCUCCAAUCGAUUGAUCCAUCCCCUUCCCCCGAUCCACACGCGUUUCUCUUCAGCAACAUCGAUCUCAUCCGGCUCCUGCCUAUACCCGCGGGGAUCAUGAGCAUCUCUACCUCCGGAGCUUUCUCUCCCCCUCGACCCCCCCUCCAGAUCUGCCCCAACUCUCUCCCCUUCGGUUCCCUGAAGAUCUGCACUGACGCCGACCAUUUGCUGCCGCUGGAAACUUCCUUCUCCCCGGCUGCCACCACAUCGGUCGCCUUAGCCCACCAUCCUGUUAACGCUUGGACUGCUUCCAUGAUGCCUUGGACUUCAGGAUCUCCGCUGCUACAGAUGGUCCAGCACUCUGACUCUCAAAACACAAUUAGAGGGUAGCUUCAAGCAUUGAUAUCAUUUCUGCACCCCCCCCCCCCCCCCCCCCGGAAAACUGAAGGCAAAUCGACGGCAUAGACGGCCAUGCGUGUUUGCUCAGUUCAUGCCAAUGCUUAUAGGUGAUGUUAAUUCAUUUCUUGAUGAAGUUUCCAUAGCAUUCCGCACUAAUGCACUCUUGGCAGUCUGCAUGGCACUAUUUAUCAGAUCAGCCUGCUGGUAUGCUCACAGCUCUCUGCACAUUCUUGGGUUAUUUGGUUACCUUGGUUUGACUCAUGUGCUUGAUAAGCACCUUUGUGCUUAUAAAAAAUAUUCAGUGAAAUAUUUUUAAUUGUAGUCAAUGUUUGUGCUGAUGGUGUUUAACGUACUACUUGAUGAAGCUUCUGUACACAUAAUGACAACGUUGCUAUUAUGAGGUACUACAAUGGUUCAAAUUUUGUUGAGGAAUGAUGGUUAAUUUCCUUUUGCUUAUUUACUCUUUAUGCGCUCUUCUAUUUAACCACUCUGUACCAAAUGAGCAACAGGGUCCUGUUGGUCAGAUAUCAUGUGUAGUGAUAGUUUGUAGCUUGUAGAGUCAUAGAGUGCCAACCUGUUUCUUCUUCUUCUUCUUCUUUUUCUGUAACCAUCAUAUAUGAGCUGUUACAUAUUGUGAUAUCCACAAUUUGCUUGCAGUGUCAGGCUACUUAGUAUUCAUAUUAUAUACAACAUUGUAUAUAUAAAUGAUAUGUUUUUAGGGGAUUUAGUUGCAUUGCUACUAAAUCUAUCUUAGGGCACCUUUGAAUUUUCCACGUUCUAUUGUGUUACUUGCUUCCUAUAGGAGGAAAGAUUAGGGAUUUCUAUGUUGCCUGCAA